CACACAACAACAAUUUAUUGAACUCGCAACAGCAAACAGGGACUCAGAGCCGAGGGUGCGUGCCUUCCCCUGGGAGACCUUCCUGUCCUUAGAGGAAAGUGGGAAUCCCACAGGGGUGCGGGUGCUGGAGUCCCCCACCCAAGAGCCUGUGCGGACUCCGGGUGGGGGCACGUGUCCUGAGGUUGGGGCGUUGAGAGGCGGUUCUGAGGACAGCAGGGCUGACCUAGGCCUGCGGCCCAUGGGCUCCUGCGCUGGGUCCCUGCAGGGCAGCUGGACCCCGGCCUCAGGCCCCUUGGGGCCGGGUGACUGACUGCUGGAGCCCCAGCACGUGGAGGAGCCUGCCUCCUGGUGUGGGUGCGGGUGGGGCCCACAGGCCUGCCCCUGCUGCCCUGCCCUGGGGUGUCCCGGGAUCCCCAGGGCUGCCCUAGGUCAGCGACCUGGAUCUGUGGGGCACGGCCAGGGCCCAGGAGGCCACAUCCGGCUGUGAGAGGGCUCGCUCAGCCCGGGGCCAGAACCCAGGCCUGGCCAGGGCCCCGGGGGGCUGGAUCCCAUUAGUCUUCGUGCUGGGCCCGGGGGGGCUCGAGUCGUCCCUGCCCCCACAGAGCCCGGGGCCAGGCCAGCCCAGGUCCCUCUGGGUCAGGGGCUGGUGUCCUGUGCGGGGGGUGCCGCCCUCCGGGAGGGACAGCAAGACAAGGCAGGGCACGGUGACGGCGGGCCAGAGCCUCCGGGCCCCCACACUCACCACCAUGCUCUGCUCCCGAGGCCCGCGAGCAUCGAGCUGCCCCGUGGACGUGGAGGGCAGAGGGUCCCGGGCCUGUGCGGGGCCUCGGGGCAACGGGCUCAGCGCCACCCUGGCUCUGCCCGUCACUGCCCAGCAAGGGGCACGAGCUGCAGUGGCCGCAGGGCAGGAAAGGUGUCCUGGGCCCGACAGCGUCGUCCCUAGGGGGCUGGGGGGACCCUGUGAUGGGAGUCCCGGGAGUGCUCCAAGGCCUGGUUCGUCGCAGGGCCUUUGGGGUGGCCCAGGCAGGUGCCGAAGGGAAGGGGACCCCGUUUUUUGUCUUCAAGCCCACCAUGUCUGGGGGCCGCCUGCCUGCACCGUCUUGUUGCACUGGGAGGAUGGGGAGGGAGUUCCAUCGCUGGAGGAGAAGUUGGACGAUGGCCUGGCCGGGAGGGGGUCCAGGUGGCUCAGGCUGGGUGGCUGGGCCCGGGGAGGCCUGCUCCUCCACCCUGGGCAGUGUCUCAGAGGCCGGAGAAGGGAGGAGAGGCCCGGGCGCCAGGGAAACUCGCUCCAGGCCCAGGGGCCUCGUGGGGAACUCCUCAGGUCCCGCUGGGGGGGGCAGGUCACACCGCAUCCUCCGGAGCUGGGUCAUGGAGGCCCAAAGGUGUCUGAGCACCGCCUCGUCUUUCAGGGCCCAGGGCUGGGCCAGAGAGUCCUGGAGGAACUCCCGGAGCCCUUCCAGGGGCAGCUUCAGGAGGCGCUCUGGGCGGUGGGCGAGAGUCAGACCCAGAGGGCCCCGCCCUGGGGCCCCCGGUGCCCCCAGGCCAGCGGCUGGGGUCCCGCUGUGCCCAGGAGCGCCGUGGGCAGUGCACUGGCC
rnacentral:lncRNA from 12 species